UUUACACUACACCACUAUAUAUACAAGUCAAAACACCAUAUGGGUUAGGCUUUCUAUGCAGGGGAAGAAAAGGUGUGUGGGUGUGUUGAGGGGAAUGUUGGCUGGCUCGAAGCUUAAGCAAAGAGUUUCCUAACAUGAAACAACUGUUAAGGCUUCGGACCAGGCUUCAUUCCCCUCAAACAUACAAGCUUAUGUUAUGCAUUUCAUGUGCAAAUUCAUCAGUUAUUGUGUUACAUCUUUCUUUCUCUCUUUGUUUAUUAGAAGAUAUAGCAUGAGUUCAGUUUCGUGAGGGUUAGGUUGAGAGGAAUGUUGUCUGGCUCGAGGUCAUUGAGGCCAUGAUUAUACAGACAUGGCAUUACCUGAUGACAGCCGAGAAAAUUCGAAGUCUGUGUGUAUCUUGUACCUCGAUGAUUCUCGGACCAGGCUUCAUUCCUUCCAACAAACAUUUGCUACAAUUUCUUUGCUUGCCAUCUCAUGAUUCUCCUAACUACAAUUCUAUAAUAUCAACUUCUGGUUGCUAGCUUAGCUUUUCUUUAAGUUCCAUCUCAGCUAUGUGGUCAACACUCCUAUAUACAACAAAGAUGUGGGAUCUAGCUAGCCAUGAAUGCCUACAUUUGACGUGGACAAGAUAGCAGGUGCAGUGAAAAGCCAUUGGAUUUUGAAAUUGUUAGCAGGAGCCUAGCCAAAACCUACACUUCCUUCCAUAGAGUCCAAAAGGCAGCCUUCUACAUAGCCUCAAGUUUAAUACUGCUCCCUUUUAAGAAUCUAAGGGUCUUCUCUUGCUUGUUUCUCUCAUGGAGGAAGGUCCAGAUAUUUUGGCUUUUGAAAAGCCAACGUCAAUUUCAAUUUUCCAUUAGAGAGAAGAGAAGAGAGAGGAAGGGAGAGUAAAUGACGACUAUCUGACGCUUCUUGGGAAAUGUAACGAGAUAGAGAUGGCAUUAAUAGAUGGAUAGACAUGGUAUUGUUCCACCAACAUCAAUCUCUCCUGUUUGACAGCUUCAUCAUCAUGUAUUUAUUAUUAUUGAGUACUUCAAUACCAGCUAGCUCUGAUGGCUAGUUGAUUAGGGUUCUGUAGUGUUACAGUGUUGUGUGAAAGUAAUGUGAAGCUAUUUUUGGCACAGGAAUAUACUACCAUCUUCCAAGCUUUGCAGCUAUUGCAUGGUAAA